UUCGGGGGUAAUAGAGACGGUGAAACACCUUGCUCCAUUCCGAACCAAGAAGUUAAGCCCGUCAUCGCCGAUGGUACUGCAAGGGAAGCCUUGUGGGAGAGUAGGUCGCCCCCGGUU
rnacentral:rRNA from 1 species